rnacentral:tRNA from 1 species
AUUCUAGUAGCUUAAUAAGAGCGUGAUACUGAAGAUAUCAAGGUGAUAAUUUUAUCUUAGGAUA